GACAAGACUGGGUCUCAUGUUUUUAGCCUCAUGCUGCACUGCCACACCAAUCUGGCUGUUUUAUCAUUAAGCAACCUCAACUGAAGAGUUUAUAAUAUUUAGAAGACAUUCCCAGAAUUUAGCGUGCAUAACUUGCUGGCAGGCAUAUUAUAUGACAUCAUUUCCCUGGAAUUUUUCCAAGUUAAAGUAUUAUUUAAUUUGUCUCUUCCCUGCACUGUCAUUAUCAGUGAGAAUUUCAAGUGUGCCAGGGCCACACAUGUUCUUGGAAGCAGUUAUACAAUCUCAGUUGUGACUGUUGAAACAGGGGAGUUGGCUAAGAUAAAUAAAUAAAUAAAUAAAUCUCAUCCCUACUUUUGCUGAGCUACUUUGAAUAGUUUCUGAAUAAAAGGUGUAGGGUCAGCUUGAGAGAUCUUCUCCUGUUGGACCAGGACCGGAAGGUUCCUGGAAGUCGCAUUGGGUGUUUGGGGAAGAGGGGUGGAGCCACGCAGCCCAAUGUUGGUACACACUGUAAAAUCUCUGCAUGCUGCUGCCGUGAAUCCUCCUCUCCCCUUGCUCUCUCGCUGAUGUCGCCCCAUGCUUCUCUCAAAAGCGGAGGUAUCAGCCUGCGUCCUCUAGAACCGAGCGUGUUGUUCUAGAGAAAUCGGCCGAAGAAAGAAGCUCCGGACGUUUGCAAGUAUUAAGCUUUGUAGAUUGAGACAAGGCAGGAUCCACGGCUGCCAAGGACAAAAGAUCACGAGGACCCCAGGCUCAAAUAAUUAUUUG